CUACGGGAUGCUCCAGUGAGGAAUAUUGCACAAUGGGGGGAACCCUGAUGCAGCAACGCCGCGUGGAGGAUGACGCAUUUCGGUGUGUAAACUCCUUUUAUAUGUCAAGAAAAUGACGGUAGCAUAUGAAUAAGCACCGGCUAACUCCGUGCCAGCAGCCGCGGUAAUACGGAGGGUGCAAGCGUUACUCGGAAUCACUGGGCGUAAAGGACGCGUAGGCGGGUUGAAAAGUCAGGUGUGAAAGCCUACAGCUUAACUGUAGAACUGCACUUGAAACUCUCAAUCUAGAGUAUGGGAGGGGCAGAUGGAAUUAGUGGUGUAGGGGUAAAAUCCGUAGAUAUCACUAGGAAUACCUAAAGCGAAGGCGAUCUGCUGGAACAUUACUGACGCUAAGGCGUGAAAGCGUGGGGAGCAAACAGGAUUAGAUACCCUUGUAGUC
rnacentral:rRNA from 1 species